rnacentral:ncRNA from 1 species
CAUCUUCGGGGUAGGGUGAGAUUCCCGACCGGCAGUAUAGUCUGCGAGCCGUCACAGCGACGGCAUGACACGGUGAGAUUCCGUGACCGACGGUAAAGUCCGGAUGAGAGAAGAU